GACGAACGCUGGCGGCGUGCUUAACACAUGCAAGUCGAACGGAAACGCCCUGCUUUUGUGGGGUGCUCGAGUGGCGAACGGGUGAGUAACACGUGAGUAACCUGCCCUUGUCUUUGGGAUAACUUCAGGAAACUGGGGCUAAUACCGUAUAGGAGCUCCUGUUGCAUGGUGGGGGUUGGAAAGUUUCGGCGGGUGGGGAUGGACUCGCGGCUUAUGAGCUUGUUGGUGGGGUAGUGGCUUACCCAGGCUUUGACGGGUAGCCGGCAUGAGAGGGUGACCGGGCACAUUGGGACUGAGAUACGGCCCAGACUCCUACGGGAGGCAGCAGUGGGGAAUAUUGCACAAUGGGCGGAAGCCUGAUGAAGAAACGCCGCGUGCGGGAUGACGGCCUUCGGGUUGUAAACCGCUUUCGCCUGUGACGAAGCGUGAGUGACGGUAAUGGGUAAAGAAGCACCGGCUAACUACGUG
rnacentral:rRNA from 1 species